GCGGGCGACUUCGGCCGAGGAAAGGAUAGGAUAGCGUAACUGGAAGGACUGGCUCUUUUGCAAGCAAAACCACAGGCUGCGCAUCGAUGCUUCCAUCCGUCCGUCCGCUGGCGAAGGCAGGCAGCAGAAUGAUCCCAGGAGCCCUGGCGCGUACCCGGCCACACGACGGCGGUCGGGAGGGACAUCGAUCGUCAUUGCCGGCGCAGCACCGUACCUGGCCCAUGAUUCUGCCGGAGUCCUAUCCUCUCCUCUCCAUGCAUCAUCUGCUUCUGCUGCCUUCACAAGACAUCAGAGAAAAUGUGCGUAUACCGCAACAGGUGCAACCCUGCGUCUUGGCUGGCUGCCUCUUGGAAACUAGACAUCGUGUUGAUGGAUGUCGCAACCCUGCUGCCGUACCCUCUUUUCUUUCUUUCUUUCUUUUGAUGAGGUUGCACUGCUGUAAGUUGACAUAGGGGCGGAACUAUAUCCUCGCGUCCGUCGAACUGUAAAAUUUGGACAAACUAAGAAUUUCUUUGGACGUGGUCAAAGUGUCCGUCCCCUACAA